UGUGUGAGAGAGCGAGAGAGUGUGUUAACUGUUUAUUUUUUAUUUAGCUGUUGUUUAUUGUCUAUUUCACUUGCUUUAGCAAUGUAAACAUGUUUCCCAUGCCAAUAAAGCCAAUUGAAUUGAAUUGAGAGAGUGAGAGUGAGAGAGUGAGAGUGUGCACGCGCGUGCGCGAGCAUCAUGGAGGGUGAGGACUUAUUCAGUGAAUGAGUGAGAGACAUACUGCUAGUUGUCCUGAAGCUUGACAUUGGUGGUUUAUCGCCAUGUCGGUCUGAAAUGAAUUCCCUUUCAUGCAGCAAGUCAGAGGGAAAACUAUAAUUGCAUUGGUUGUUAAAAUGUUGGGAAAUGACAUAUUUCUAUCGAAUAACUAACCUGAUUCAAUAUCAAUUUCACAUAUGCUAUGCGCCUUUCGACAUGUAAUCUGGGGGGAGGGGAGGGCACUCGUCUUGUAAGCUUUAUGAUAUCCCUGAGGCUUUGAAGAUGUCUUUAGAAAUAUUACACAUUUGAGGCGUGCCAACAAUAUCUGUAUCCUCAUAACGUGUAAGUACAUUUCAUUCAAUAGUAAAAUCCAAGACUCGUCAUUAUGCUUUCGCAAAGACAAAGACAUAACAAUAACAUAUUUCCAUGCUAUGUUUGAUGUUUGUCACUGAGGUGUGUGCUCAUAAUUUACAACAUUAUAUCAUGACCGUUUGGCUUCACGGCAACAUUUGUCAAUCAGGGUCAUGUUCAAGUAAGCCUUGAUGUUUGGCCCUGCCUCCAGGCAGGUUUCAGCGACCAAACAGACAUUUUAGGCCAUGCAACACUUAGACAACACCAACAGACAGCUUAUAUCGACGCUUGGCUGUUAAAAUACUCCAAACCCGUACAUCACCUAAAAUUUGCAACAUAAAAAAAGACGGACGUUUUGUAAGCGGUUUAAAAAAGUUGCCUAUAUUGCACAAUGUUGUUUACGACAGCGAUAACCGAGGAGCACCGGAUCAAUACUUCAUAUUUGAGCGCAGUAGAUAUAGAGAUAGAGAGAAAUGACCAUGAAUUGAUUGUGGGUGUCUGUCUGGAUAUUAUAAACACCCAGCGCUAGACCAACAAUAGGCUAAUUAAAAAUUGAUGUUUGUUGAAUCAUAAUAGGCCUAUGUUAAACUAAUUGUAGUUCGUUACUAGUUAGGUUGCAUAAUUAAGCCUCUACUGCAAAAUUAGUUUUGUUUUUAACUUGAACUCCGUGAUUUAUGAAUAAUAUACGAAUAUAGGUCUCACCGCCUGUAAAUAGCAAUAUGAAUCCAGAUUGCACAAUGCGUAAAGUACCGUUUUACGCACAGAUAGGCCUAUUUCUAGAUGGAAUGAGGAAAUAGACAUCUAUUUCUAUGACCUACAAGACAUUGUGAACUACAAUGCAAUUCAGUUUUACAGUCCAAUUCCGUUUAACAGACUGAGCACCCCUUCAGCGGCCCAGACAAUAGUCCAGACAAUAGUCCAGACAAUAGUCCAGACAAUAGUCCAGACAAUAGUCCAGACAAUAUUUGCGUCCACACACUACAACUAUGAGCGUUGUGGAAUACAUUGAUGUUGAAUCAAUAGCCGAUUUGUUUUGAAAGAUUUCUCCAGACAUUGUCCUCGUUUAAACCCGACUCCACGAGAAACGUUUAAACAACUCUUAUGGGCUCCAUGGGCCUAUGAGCAAUAAUUAUGUUCGAAACCAUUAUUCAUUCUAAAGAUUAUGUUGGGUAAACAUUUAUUUCCUUAUUAGCACAUGAUGUAUAGACAAUCUAACCAAAGGUGGAACACCAGUCAAAAAAGGUUAAUGCUUAAACAUUAAAAAAGUGUUUAUCGUUAUAUCUCAUAAUUAGGCUAUAUACUAUAGAGUGCAUUUUCCUCACGAGUGUUGUACCCAUUUCGCAUCUAUUGAAUAGAAUUACAAACACAUAGGCCUAUGAGUUAUUAACAACCCAAUAAAGUGUAUUAGGUUAUACAAUUUACUUCUUGUAUUGAAAUACAAAAUAACAUAUUUAGAUGAAUCCUUUUCGAGAUUAUUUUUGGAUGAUACAUUUUGAAUAUGCUACAUGUGAUGAUACGUGUUCUAUUAUAUUAUGUAGGAUAGUAGGGUAUUGUCAUUUUUACUAUAAAUAAGACAAUGAAGAUAUCCGUCUCUUUGCGUAUAGAUAGACCACAGUGGUGGGUUUUGCGUGUUGUGAGCUGGUGGAACCUAACUCUAAUGUUCUGUAAACGAGCGACGUGAGGACGGAUUAGGACCGCGGGGACUCGCUUUACCCAAAUCCGCCCGGCCUAACCUCCACACACAUCGAGCUUCAGAACGCGCCAACGUGACACGUACUGUAAUAUGACCUCUAAAACAUAACAUGCAUUAAGAAACGGUAAGUAGGCUAUGAGCUAAACCCCUGUUCCAAAAUAGAAACAAAUAGAAGCAUUAGAAUAUCUCGGGUCAUCCGUUCAUGCAUCGCCUCCUAUUCAAAUGAUUGUGGGGACACAAACAAACCCUAUGCCUUCGCAACCACACGCUCCGCCUCCGUCAAUCCAGACAAAUUCUACGACUUGAGCUAGAGCUUUUAAGCCGUAAUUGAGCACAGGGUGCCCAGGAAUACCAAAGCCACAGACCUGAGUUUUUAUAGCUCCUAUAGUAUUCUACUGCGUUUAUUUCUCUCGGCCAGACGCCAUCAAACCGACCAGGCGUGAUAGGAAGUCGCCACCUACACGGACAAAGUCAGGAGCCGAAGCAGUCCAGCGACAAAAGAAAACGAGACAUUCUAAAACUUAACAAACACAGGUGACAUAAAUGUGAGGAGAGGGCGACGGCGACGAAAAAGGAACCGAAGGAGGGACCACAAGGGAAAACAGCGCCCAUAGUGGGAACCCUAUUCAUCUCCCUGGUCAAUGGGAGGACGUGGCUUUAGCCUUACUAUCUCUUGCAUCAAUUCAAGGGAAACGACUGACAUCAAAUAACUUCAUAAUGCAAAAGACACAUUUCAAAAAUUUCACCAGGACCUUUGACUUGUGUACACAAUGUUGCAAUGGCUAUAGCUUAAUAAAUUGUGAAACAAAACUGCA